rnacentral:rRNA from 1 species
GUCUUAGUUCGUGGAGUGAUCUGUCUGCUUAAUUGCGUUUCACUAAGGGCCCAUAAAUUCAAGGUAUGUUAGCUAUCGUUUCUCAAUUGACCCCUUGUCUUCGAUAAGCGCGUGUCUUUUAGAGUUUAAACAUUGCGCAUGCUGUUGGGUCCUGAAAGCAACGAACGUGACCGCAACGUCUUAUUGCCUUUAUCUUGCUAUAUUUUAAUUUAAUUAAAAAUAGCUAACAGAGGCUAAUUUAAAAUUAGACGGACCGCUGUACUUUUCUUAAACCAGAGGAAGGUUGCGGCAAUAACAGGUCUGUGAUGCCCUUAGAUGUUCCGGGCUGCACACGUGCUACAAUGAUCAGUACAGUGAGCAUCUCAAUAUUAUACACCGUAUUAAGCGCUUAGUUGCGAUUAUUGGCUCAUUAUUGGGUCUUUUAAUUGUAUUUCUAAUGCGCGCGGUAAAGCCUGCUUCGAGAGUAAGUGGGUAAUCCAUUGGAAGUAAUGAUUUCUCUUUUUAUAGCACACCUAUAUACGGCAUUCAUUCCCGGGACGACUAGUUUCGUCUUUUUUGUGCGAAUGUAAUGUAUUCUUUAUCCGUAUGUGCGAUUGUCAAUUCAUGGU